CAAUGUACUCCUCCCUGCCCAACCUGAAUCAACAAAUAAAUGAGUUUACCUCCUCUUUAAUUACAGAAUCUGAACUGCAAAUGUCAAUCAGCUCAGCUAACCAGUGUCUCCUCAGGGAAGAGAGCCAGGAGCUCCUCAAUGGGAUCUAGAAAAGGAAACACCUGAUGGCACGCAAGCAACCUUAUUAAAUUCCAGCCAGAUCCCACCCACUGUGCUGAUCUUCUUCACCUGUGACACUUCCAACAAGAUGAGGU
rnacentral:lncRNA from 1 species